rnacentral:rRNA from 1 species
AAAAAGCGGAGGAAAAGAAACUAACAAGGAUUCCCCUAGUAAUGGCGAAUGAAGAGGGAAAAGCCCAAAUUUGUAAUCUGGCUCUUUCAGAGUCCGAGUUGUAAUUUUAAGAACUGUUUUCAGUGCUGGACCAUGUACAAGUCUGUUGAAAAGCAGCAUCAUAGAAGGUGAUAAUCCUGUUCAUGAUAUGGACUACCAGUGCAAUAUGAUACAGUCUCUAAGAGUCGAGUUGUUUGGGAAUGCAGCUCAAAGUGGGUGGUAAAUUCCAUCUAAGGCUAAAUAUUGAUGAGAGACCGAUAGCAAACAAGUACCGUGAGGGAAAGAUGAAAAGAACUUUGGAAAGAGAGUUAACAGUACGUGAAAUUGUUAAAAGGGAAACAAUUGAAGUUAGACUUGUUAUUAUUAGUUCAACCUUUUCUAAGGGGGUAUUCUAAUGAUUAACAGACCAACAUCAAUUUUUGGGUGUUGGAGAAGGGUUUAAGGAAAUGUAGCAGUUUUUGACUGUGUUAUAGUCCUGAGCUUUGAUACAAUGCUUAAGAUUGAGGAAUGCAGUAAGCCCUUUCUUUUUUUGGGUGGAACAAAUUAUUGUUCUUCUUACUGAGGAUGUUGGUGCAAUAGCUUUAAAUGACCCGUCUUGAACCACGGACC